rnacentral:rRNA from 1 species
GACGGAGGAUGCAAGCGUUAUCCGGAAUGAUUGGGCGUAAAGCGUCCGCAGGUGGCAGUUCAAGUCUGCUGUCAAAGACCGGGGCUUAACUUCGGAAAGGCAGUGGAAACUGAACAGCUAGAGUAUGGUAGGGGCAGAGGGAAUUCCUGGUGUAGCGGUGAAAUGCGUAGAUAUCAGGAAGAACAUCGGUGGCGAAGGCGCUCUGCUGGACCAUAACUGACACUCAGGGACGAAAGCCAGGGGAGCGAACGGG